rnacentral:lncRNA from 1 species
AUUCUAGGUUUUAAGAUUAAGGAUAUUUUAAUAAUUUUCAUUCUCAAAACUAAAAAAUAAAAAAAAGAAUCCCCAAACCUUUACCCACCUCUCUCAUUCUUCUCAACCUUUUCUCCUUCAUCUCUCUCAGUCCAACCUUUUCUCUCAUUCUCAAAACUAACAAAAAAAGAAAAGAAACCCCUCAAACCCUUACUCACCUCUCUCAUUCCUCUCAAUCCUUUCUUUUUCAUCUCUUUCACUCCAACAUGUUCUUUGUCAUCCCUGUUGUAGUCCCAAUUGAAAAAAAUCAUAAACACUUGCCUAACCCUAAUCCACCUUCCUCACUUAUCUAAUUUAUUUUCAUCUCAUCUCCGUACUCUCCCUCACCCACACACAACAACCCGCGACACCGUAAUUUGUUGUUCUUGCUUUGUUAGCUCAUUUGUUUUUCACUUUAAUAACAAAAUAAUUGAUGAUGUUGAUGUAGAUUUUUUAUGGGAGGGUUGUGUUAUAUAUUUUCCCUUUUUACUAUUAUUAAAUUUCAUUUUUAAAUUAAGUCACGGUAAAUAAAACAUUCACAAAUCACAGAAUUUUCAUGCAUCAUUUGCGCACCUGCACCAUAUUUCAUUAUAUUUUUAUCACAGUAUACAUUGAGUCUAUUUAUUGAUGUGUAUACAUGACUUUUUUUUUU